UUUGAAUAUGUUUAUUUUAAGGCUACAAAUGGCUCUCCAUAAUGUUCAAGUCCACUUAGAGUUAAGUCCGACUUAGGAUCUUUGUAAAAUACCCCCUGGUAUAUUGUUAUAUAUCCAUGUUUUUAAAAAAUAAUAUAAAGAGCUGGGAGGAGCAAUGGCCUUGUUAUGUCAAGUAUCCUGUCAUAUCACAUUUCUUUUUAGUGAGUUUCCACACUAUUUUGCCCAAGACAUUCCCAUUUCAAACUGGUUUGAAUCAGGUUUUCCAGUAGUAAUCCAUCUCCCUUUUCAACUGAUGCAAUAACAGUGCUUGAGGAAAGGCUUUUAAUGCCAAGUCAAGAGAAAUGCAAUCCUUGUGGCUCUUAAAGGGAUGCAAUAAUCUACCUUAGACAAUCUCGACAUCAUUUGGAUCUUGCCCAGCUUUGUGCUUUCAAUCCAAACGAUCCCUUUAGCAGAUCUUUGUGCCAAAAUACUGAGGAAAUCAGAAACUAAAAUUCAUGAGAUGCAAGUGAUCUUAUUUCAUGCUGCAAAAUAAUUACAUCACAAUAUUGAAUUACAUAUUAAGUGAAUGAACAAUAAUUCAUUGCUUUGAAAAAUUGCUGUUAUGAAUAAUGUGUGAAGGUACAUGUAUGUGGUACCGUUUUGCAGUAUAGUGAAGAGUUUGUGAUGACAAAGAACAAAUCAAUUCACAAUUUUGUACUGGGAGCGAUUUGAAUAAAAUCUGAGGAUUUGAAUCAAUUUAUAUUGAGAAAUUAUAAUCAUACACAGCUCGAUUAAUCAAUCUCUAAAUCGAUGAAGUCAACUCAAGCAUGAAAGGUGGACUAGUCGAAUUAGGGCCUUUGUUAAAUAUUUUUAGAUGUAAAGCUUCAAUGUGUCAAGUUAUUACAUGCAUGAAUACAUCUUGUGACUUAAUAGAUACUCUUCACAGUGUGAUUUAACUUUGAAAUAAAGAUGCAACGACCAUGGUUUUAAGAAAUGCAAAUUGUUUAAUGUAGCAAUAUAUAUAUCUUUGAAACAUUAAUACAAUUUACCAGUAGUUAAAGGCAAGUAUACAAAAACAUGCAAUACAGGGUGUAAAUACUUAUAUCAGUACUUGACCAUGUCUUUACUUUACAGUAACACUUGAAGACUUUUCACACAUAUGGGGCGUUGCAAGAAAGUUUCAAUCGAUUGCAAAGCCCAAAAUCAAGCGUAAGUUUUGCGAUUAAUUGCAAAUUAACAAUUGAUCGCAACUCAACUUUCUUGUAACGCUCCAUUAGUAAGAGAGAGGGGGGGGGGGGGGGGGAUAAAAGCUAGAUAUAGUUAACUUAAUUCAAUUGUUAAAACUUAAUCCUUAAAAAUCCUAGAAAAUUUAGGAGACUAGUGGGGCGUUGCAGAAAAGUUGAGUUGCAAUCAUUGCAAAUAUCAGUUGCAAAUUUUGCAACGUCGUCCAAUAGUAACUAACCAUGGUGGAUAGAAGUAUUGUAUUUGAUAAAUUUCAUAAAUUAAAUCACAUUUCUGGCUAAAACAUCAACCUCAUUAACCCAAUGUCUAUUGCAGGAAACAGGAUGGCUCUCGUAUGAAGUCUAUGACAUUGAGAGAAGUUAGAGAAUUGGCUAAUAUUUAAAUGGUACCGUUGUCCAAAAAAUAUUGUAAGAAAUGAAAUUAACAAAAUACUUCUUUCACAAUGAUUUAACUUUCAUGUCAACAUUGCUCUGUUAUAUACAUGUAACUCUCUGAAUGUAAACCAAGAAUGUGAUGAACAUGAAAUGUGUUUUAUUCAAUGUGCAAAAUUAAAUUUGAUACAAAAAACAAAAAAA